GCCCGUUCGAGCGUCAUUACACCAAUCAAGCCUGGCUUGGUAUUGGGCGUCGGGAGACCCCGCGCCCUCAAUUCAUCGGCUGGACGGUUCGAAUCUCAGCGUUGUGGUAAAUCAAUUCGCUGGCGAGGACGACCGGACGCGCCGUUAAACCUCUAUUACAGGUUGACCUCGGAUCGGGUAGGGAUACCCGCUGAACUUAA
rnacentral:misc_RNA from 1 species